UGCGGAAUAUUGCGCAAUGGGCGAAAGCCUGACGCAGCAACGCCGUGUGAGGGAUGAAGGCUUUCGGGUCGUAAACCUCUGUCAGAAGGGAAGAACGGGCAUUGGUCUAAUAGGCCUUUGUUUUGACGGUACCUUCAGAGGAAGCACCGGCUAACUCCGUGCCAGCAGCCGCGGUAAUACGGAGGGUGCAAGCGUUAUUCGGAAUUACUGGGCGUAAAGCGCACGUAGGCCGUUUUGUAAGUCAGGGGUGAAAUCCCACGGCUCAACCGUGGAACUGCGCUUGAAACUGCGAAGCUUGAAUCCUGGAGAGGGUGGCGGAAUUCCUGGUGUAGGAGUGAAAUCCGUAGAUAUCAGGAGGAACACCGGUGGCGAAGGCGGCCACCUGGACAGGUAUUGACGCUGAGGUGCGAAAGUGUGGGGAGCAAACAG
rnacentral:rRNA from 1 species